GGCGAAGACAAGGGAGAUCCGGCUACGUCCCUCCCCUAGGUCUCUGGAAGCUGAAGCCGCUGCAGCCAAGGCCUGGUUUCAUUCUGGCUGGGGGCUGAGGGCUGGAGUUGGACAGCCGGCCUCUCUGCGGUUCCCCCAUUAUGGCUUGGCAUCAGCAUCUAGAUUGCAGGAUUGAUGGAGCCAGAAACCUCCUGCAGGGGCCCCCAGAGGUUCUUGCAUCCAGUGUGGCAUCCAGACAGUGUGUGGUUAAUGAGUCCGAAGAAAGGACCAGCGUCGUGGAGGAGUCCGGCAGCCCUGCAGGAGCACCUGGAGCACCUGGCUGUGGAGGGGCUUCUGGAAGGAAGCACAGGAGCAGAGGAAGGAGAAGGAGUUCAAAUGCCCGUACCUCCCGGGAGUUCCCAUCGUGGCGCAGUGGAAACGAAUCCAACUAGGAACCAUAAAGUUGCAGGUUUGAUCCCUGGCCUCGCUUAGUGGGUUAAGGAUCUGGUGUUGCUGUGAGCUGUGGU
rnacentral:lncRNA from 1 species